rnacentral:misc_RNA from 1 species
UUAAGUUCAGCGGGUAUCCCUACCUGAUUCGAGGAGUUCCGAUGUCUCGCUCUCCCCGCCCGACACAGGGGCCGGGGGCUGGCUGCCCCGCCGCGCUCGAGCGCCAAUGCGUCAUAUCACGCUCGGGCACGCAGCAGGCAGUCCGCCCAUGGAUUCCAGCGAGGUGGCCGCCCGCUCGGGGCACGCCGCCGCCGCCAUCA